rnacentral:rRNA from 2 species
CUGGCGGCGUGCUUACACAUGCAGUCGAACGAUGAUCCCAGCUUGCUGGGGGAUUAGUGGCGAACGGGUGAGUAACACGUGAGUAACCUGCCCUUGACUCUGGGAUAAGCCUGGGAAACUGGGUCUAAUACCGGAUACGACCAUCUGGCGCAUGUCAUGGUGGUGGAAAGCUUUUGUGGUUUUGGAUGGACUCGCGGCCUAUCAGCUUGUUGGUGGGGUAAUGGCCUACCAAGGCGACGACGGGUAGCCGGCCUGAGAGGGUGACCGGCCACACUGGGACUGAGACACGGCCCAGACUCCUACGGGAGGCAGCAGUGGGGAAUAUUGCACAAUGGGCGCAAGCCUGAUGCAGCGACGCCGCGUGAGGGAUGACGGCCUUCGGGUUGUAAACCUCUUUCAGUAGGGAAGAAGCGAAAGUGACGGUACCUGCAGAAGAAGCGCCGGCUAACUACGUGCCAGCAGCCGCGGUAAUACGUAGGGCGCAAGCGUUAUCCGGAAUUAUUGGGCGUAAAGAGCUCGUAGGCGGUUUGUCGCGUCUGCUGUGAAAGACCGGGGCUCAACUCCGGUUCUGCAGUGGGUACGGGCAGACUAGAGUGCAGUAGGGGAGACUGGAAUUCCUGGUGUAGCGGUGAAAUGCGCAGAUAUCAGGAGGAACACCGAUGGCGAAGGCAGGUCUCUGGGCUGUAACUGACGCUGAGGAGCGAAAGCAUGGGGAGCGAACAGGAUUAGAUACCCUGGUAGUCCAUGCCGUAAACGUUGGGCACUAGGUGUGGGGGACAUUCCACGUUUUCCGCGCCGUA